GGGUCUGUAGCUCAGCUGGUUAGAGCACCGUCUUGAUAAGGCGGGGGUCGUUGGUUCGAGCCCAACUAGACCCA
rfam:Acidovorax sp. JS42, complete genome.